AGUGGCGGACGGGUGAGUAACGCGUGGGUAACCUGCCUUAUACAGGGGGAUAACAGUUGGAAACGACUGCUAAUACCGCAUAAGCGCACGGUAUCGCAUGAUACAGUGUGAAAAACUCCGGUGGUAUAAGAUGGACCCGCGUUGGAUUAGCUAGUUGGCAGGGCAGCGGCCUACCAAGGCGACGAUCCAUAGCCGGCCUGAGAGGGUGAACGGCCACAUUGGGACUGAGACACGGCCCAGACUCCUACGGGAGGCAGCAGUGGGGAAUAUUGCACAAUGGGGGAAACCCUGAUGCAGCGACGCCGCGUGAAGGAAGAAGUAUCUCGGUAUGUAAACUUCUAUCAGCAGGGAAGAUAAUGACGGUACCUGACUAAGAAGCCCCGGCUAACUACGUGCCAGCAGCCGCGGUAAUACGUAGGGGGCAAGCGUUAUCCGGAUUUACUGGGUGUAAAGGGAGCGUAGACGGCGCAGCAAGUCUGAUGUGAAAGGCAGGGGCUUAACCCCUGGACUGCAUUGGAAACUGCUGUGCUUGAGUGCCGGAGGGGUAAGCGGAAUUCCUAGUGUAGCGGUGAAAUGCGUAGAUAUUAGGAGGAACACCAGUGGCGAAGGCGGCUUACUGGACGGUAACUGACGUUGAGGCUCGAAAGCGUGGGGAGCAAACAGGAUUAGAUACCCUGGUAGUCCACGCCGUAAACGAUGGAUACUAGGUGUGGGGGGUCUGACCCCCUCCGUGCCGCAGUUAACACAAUAAGUAUCCCACCUGGGGAGUACGAUCGCAAGGUUGAAACUCAAAGGAAUUGACGGGGGCCCGCACAAGCGGUGGAGUAUGUGGUUUAAUUCGAAGCAACGCGAAGAACCUUACCAGGGCUUGACAUCCCACUAACGAAGCAGAGAUGCAUUAGGUGCCCUUCGGGGAAAGUGGAGACAGGUGGUGCAUGGUUGUCGUCAGCUCGUGUCGUGAGAUGUUGGGUUAAGUCCCGCAACGAGCGCAACCCUUAUUGUUAGUUGCUACGCAAGAGCACUCUAGCGAGACUGCCGUUGACAAAACGGAGGAAGGUGGGGACGACGUCAAAUCAUCAUGCCCCUUAUGUCCUGGGCCACACACGUACUACAAUGGUGGUUAACAGAGGGAGGCAAUACCGCGAGGUGGAGCAAAUCCCUAAAAGCCAUCCCAGUUCGGAAUGCAGGCUGAAACCCGCCUGUAUGAAGUUGGAAUCGCUAGUAAUCGCGGAUCAGCAUGCCGCGGUGAAUACAAUCCCGGGCCUUGCACACACCGCCCGUCA
rnacentral:rRNA from 1 species